ensembl:lncRNA novel transcript
GGCUUCUGACCGCUCACCCUCCCCCGUCAACUCCUUACGUAGUCACCAUUAUGAAAAAGUGUGCCCCUUCAGCACCUUGGGAAGACCUGGAUAUAACCAGGGUCCCAGGUUUGAGGAGACAGUGCUGGGUCAAACAGCCUUUAUUUUAGCAGUUGUGAGACCCUAGAGAACUCCUUUGGUGUUUUGGGGUCUCCCCAGCAUGCACAAUGGGGGUUAUGCUAGCAUCUCUUUCCUAGGGAACUCAUGAGGUUAUGUUUGAGAUAAAUAUUUAAAAACUCAUGGUGUGGUGUUCCCUGUGGAUAUUGCACACACUUAGAAAUGGAACAAAUACAAGAAGGGGUGAGAGAAAAUAAAGCAUGCGAAGAAGUUAACUUGGUGCCAUUGGGCAGAGGGUGAGAGCCCAGCAAACCGGAGAGAUCAGCUGCCCACAUCAGUGGCGAGGAGUGCGGAGAGUGGGUGAGGCUGGGGCAGGAAGCAGGCCAGCCUGCCAGAGCCCAGGAACAGGUGAAAGGACCUGCUGAAGCUCACACCCGUGGACCACCCAGACUGCCUGCCGCUACAGGAUGCCCUCCGCAUCUCCCAGGACUUCUUUCCGGCAUCAGUGUGGACAUUGACCCCACUGGACUGCAGUCACAGUGGACUCCCAAGGGGCAG